CUCCGGUUGCUCUUAAGGACCUGACUGCUAUCGGAUUGGUACUAAGCCAUGCUAGUCAUUGUAGCAAUACAAGGCGGACGGCUCAGUAACACGUAGUCAACCUAACUCGUGGACGUGGAUAACCUCGGGAAACUGAGAAUAAACCACGAUAGACCAUAGUGCCUGGAAUGGCUUAUGGUCCAAACAGUUUACUGCCAUGGGAUGGGACUGCGGCCUAUCAGCUUGUUGGUGAGGUAAUGGCCCACCAAGGCGAUUACAGGUACGGGCUCUGAGAGGAGAAGCCCGGAGAUGGGUACUGAGACACGGACCCAGGCCCUAUGGGGCGCAGCAGGCGAGAAACCUUAGCAAUGUGCGAAAGCACGACUGGGUCAGUCCGAGUGAUUCCUGAUAAAGGAGUCUUUUGCUUGUCCUAAAAGCACAGGUGAAUAAGGGGUGGGCAAGUCUGGUGUCAGCCGCCGCGGUAAUACCAGCACCUCGAGUGGUCAGGACGUUUAUUGGGCCUAAAGCAUCCGUAGCCGGCUUUGCAAGUCUUCGGUUGAAUCCACCUGCUCCACAGAUGGGCUGCUGGAGAUACUACAAAGCCAGGGAAUGGGGAAAGGCAAACGGUAUUCCGUGGGUAGGGGGUAAAAUCCUCUGAUCCAUUGAGGACCACCAGUGGCCAAGGCGGUCCGCCCAAAACACUUUCACGGGGAGGGAAAGAAAGUGGGGGGAGAAAACCGAAUAAGAUCCCCGGGAACCCCCGUUGUAAAGAAGGAAAACCCGGGGAAGCUUUGGUUAUAGGCCAAAGAAAGCCCCCGGGAACCCCUUUAAUUU
rnacentral:rRNA from 1 species